rnacentral:rRNA from 1 species
CCUGCGGAAGGAUCAUUAUCGAAUUAUAAUCCGGCGAGGGGAAAGAGGGGAGUUGUCGCUGGCCUUUUACCAGGCAUGUGCACGCUCUCCUCGGAACCUAAGCCUUAUGGGCGCGGGGCGACCCGCGUCUUCAUAUACCUCUUCGUGUAGAAAGUCUUUGAAUGUUUAUACUAUCAUCGAGUCGCGACUUCUAGGAGACGCGGUUCUUUGAGACAAAAGUUAUUACAACUUUCAGCAAUGGAUCUCUUGGCUCUCGCAUCGAUGAAGAACGCAGCGAAUCGCGAUAUGUAAUGUGAAUUGCAGAUCUACAGUGAAUCAUCGAAUCUUUGAACGCACCUUGCGCUCCUCGGUGUUCCGAGGAGCAUGCCUGUUUGAGCGUCAGUAAAUUCUCAACCCCUCUCGAUUUGCUUCGAUAGGGUGCUUGGAUACUGGGGGCUGCCGGAGACCUGGACGAAAGUCUAGGACUUGGGCUCUCCUGAAAUGAAUCGGCUUGCGGUCGACUUUCGACUUUGCAUGACAAGGCUUUUGGCGUGAUAAUGAUCGCCGUUCGCUGAAGUGCAUGAAUGAAUGAUCCCGUGCCUCUAAUGCGUCGACGCCUUUUUGGCGUCUUCCUUAUUGACUUUUGACCUCAAAUCAGGUAGGACUACCCGCUGAACUUAAGCAUA